UACGUAGGGGGCAAGCGUUGUCCGGAUUUAUUGGGCAUAAAGAGCGUGUAGGCGGCCGCACAGGUCCGUUGUGAAAACUGGAGGCUUAACCUUCAGACGUCGAUGGGAACCGUGCGGCUAGAGUCCGGAAGAGGAGAAUGGAAUUCCUGGUGUAGCGGUGAAAUGCGCAGAUAUCAGGAAGAACACCCGUGGCUAAGGCGGUUCUCUAGUACGGUACUGACGCUGAGACGCGAAAGCGUGGGGAGCGAACAGG
rnacentral:rRNA from 1 species